CAUAUUUACACUAGAGUUAAUUCCAAAAGUAUUGUAGUAGUAUACAUAAUUAAAUGAAAAGUAUGCAAAUUCAUACAAACCUAAGUCAGUAAUAAAUAAAGAGUGAUUUAUUUAACAUAAAAUACAUAUUAUUUUGCAAAAUAUUGACUUCAACAAAUAUUUUGAUAACUUAAGAAACAAGCAGCUCUAAAAUGUUACAAUACCAUUAAUUUUUGGGUGUGAAAAGACUAAAUUUGAUUUUCAAAUGACAAUCUUUGUUAAAAAUCUCAUAAUUAGAUAGAGUAUUAGCUUAAAUCAAUUUUGCUUUUGAAAUUGUUGAUUUGCUGUUUACGAGACAUUACACUAUUAAGUUAAGGCAGGGAGAGAAUAGUGGAUUUAGGAUCAUCAUUUUGUGUGGCGAUACAGACCGUAGCAUUUGAAAAAUGUUCCACUACACUCCUACCUAAAUUUAAAAAUGGAAUAUUUUAACAACAGGUUAAUGGAUUUAAAAAAAAUAAUGACCAAAUUUGAUUUAAACUAAUACUCCAUUAAUUUAUGUAUUAAUAUAAAUUAUCAUUUUAAAAUCAAAAGUAGAUAGUCAUUUUACCCCCAAAAAUAAAAUACUUUUUUCCAAAAAAGUCAAUAUUUUGCGAAAUAAUGUGUUUUACAUUGCACGAAUCAUACUGUAUAAUAUUAUAAUUAAUAGAUUCUUAAAGUUUAACUUUCUCUCAUUACCUUAAUACAAAUAUCUGAAACACUAUAAAGUACCUGUGUAAUGAAAUCUAUAAAAACAUUGUUUCAGAAGAUUUUAAUAUUUGGCUAAGGAUAUAAUUUAUGUAUACAAAUAUUGUGUAACUCUUAACACAUUUUUUUAUUUAAGUUUAGUUAAUUUUGGC